rnacentral:rRNA from 1 species
GUGCCAGCAGCCGCGGUAAUACGGAGGAUGCGAGCGUUAUCCGGAUUUAUUGGGUUUAAAGGGUGCGCAGGCGGCGUGCCAAGUCAGCGGUCAAAGUUCCGGGCUCAACCCGGUGAUGCCGUUGAAACUGGUGUGCUUGAGUGCGUGCGAGGGAGGCGGAAUGCGUUGUGUAGCGGUGAAAUGCAUAGAUAUGACGCAGAACUCCGAUUGCGAAGGCAGCUUUCCAGCACGCCACUGACGCUGAGGCACGAAAGCGUGGGGAUCGAACAGGAUUAGAUACCCUGGUAGUCCACGCAGUAAACGAUGACUACUAUCUUUUCGGUCCGAUUGUGGAUUGUGAGGAACAGCGAAAGCGUUAAGUAGUCCACCUGGGGAGUACGCCGGCAACGGUGAA